rnacentral:misc_RNA from 1 species
CACGAAGAGGCCUCCAUCGGUCUUUCAAACCUUGCCUAUCGUACCCUUUUUGUUGUUCCCUCGGCGGGGGUAAUAAAGCCCGCCGGCGGGAAAGCUCGAAAAAACCCUUUGCAAUCAGCAUCCAAAAACUCUGAUUACAAAACCUUAAAUCGUUA